rnacentral:rRNA from 1 species
AACGAACGCUGGCGGCAUGCCUAACACAUGCAAGUCGAACGAGACCUUCGGGUCUAUUGGCGCACGGGUUCGUAACGCUUUGGAAGCUUCCCGUACGUUCGGAAUAACUCCCCGAAAGGGGUCCUAUUACCGGAUAAUGUCUUCGGACCAAACAUCUAUUGCCUUUGGAUGGGCCCGCGUUGGAUUAGCUAGUUGGUAGGGUAAAAGCCUACCAAGGCGACGAUCCAUAGCUGGUCUGAGAGGAUGAUCAGCCACACUGGGACUGAGACACGGCCCAGACUCCUACGGGAGGCAGCAGUGGGGAAUAUUGGACAAUGGGCGAAAGCCUGAUGCAGCAAUGCCGCGUGAGUGAUGAAGGACUUAGGGUUGUAAAGCUCUUUUACCCGGGAUGAUAAUGACAGUACCGGGAGAAUAAGCUCCGGCUAACUCCGUG